GCUCAAUGUCCAUGAGAUUCAUUCCUGCUCCAUCAGUUUGAUCAAUGCAAGCAUAGUCCCCAAUUAGUAAAGACGCCAUAAAAGAACUAACUAAGGAUACCCUCUCUGUAUUCUGAUAAAUUUCAGGCUGUGUUUCAAAAAUCUUUCGAAUUUGAGGACCGACAUAUCUUUCAUGUGCACGAGAACCAGUAAGUUUGGCCAGCU
rnacentral:misc_RNA from 1 species